rnacentral:rRNA from 1 species
UCCGGUGACCAUGGCGGAGGGGAAACACCCGUUACCAUUCCGAAUACGGCAGUUAAGCCCUCCUGCGCCGAUGGUACUGCCCCCUAAGGGGUGGGAGAGUAGGUCGUUGCCGGGA